GAACAAUUUUCAUGAAGAACACCUUAUCAAAUUAUGACUAAAACUAGGAUGAAAUUGGGUUCAAAAGUUAGGGCAUAAAACUGUCUAGAACUCAAACUCUUUGAAUUUGCAUAAGUAACUUAGGCAUUCAUUUGGUUAGUUAUUAGAGAUAAUUGGGAUAAGUAUUAAGACAUUUCUGUUGUGUAUUUUCAAUGGAAAAGAAGUCUCCUAAAGAGGGGAAGAGUUAAACUAAGUAAAAGGAGUAUAAAGAGGUUUGUACACAACUAAACCCUCCACUUUUAUUUUAAAUUGUAAAUGGAUUGAAUGUGUGCUUUAAUUUUGUAAAAUGAGUUUAUGAUUUUAGAAAGGCGAAUGUUGGCCAUUUUGUACCAUUGUAGUAAGGGGUGGGCCGGUUUUAAAUAUAUAUUUGAAGUAUUUGAGAAAUUUGUGUGUUGCCAACUUUUUUUGGGUUUUAUGAUGAAUUGAUUGUGAUUGUUUGAUUGGAAACUCUUUGAAAUUAUUCUUUAAUCAUAGUUAGCAUGACAGUUCCUUUUGGCAUUCCCUUUUAGUAAUGGCUAAUCGGGAUUUUACCAUUGAUUAUAUUACCUCCCUCAUUAAUAACGGUUAGUGA
rnacentral:misc_RNA from 1 species